GCCAAUGUGGUUUAGUGGGUUCAGUGUUGGACUACAACUCUGAGACCAGGGUUUGAAUCCCUCCUUAGCCA